GGAACACUGGCCAACAGCCAUGAACAAGUGUGUAGGGUUUAGCUGCUUGUAGGGUGCUUUGAAAUGGUCACCUCAUAAUUGUGCCAGAAGUGCAUCACCUCCUUGAAUGAGGAGCAGACAGCAGAUGGUUUUUAAUUGUGUGCUCUCUUAAGGCAAAGCAUAAUUGAUUUGAAGGAAAAGGAGAUACCAGAGUUAAGAAACAAACUGCAGAGCGUCAAUAGAGACAUCCAGCGCCUGAAGAAUGACAUAGAAGAACAGGAAACACUCUUGGGUACAAUAAUGCCUGAAGAAGAAAGUGCAAAAAUGUGUCUGACAGAUGUCACAAUCAUGGAGAGGUUCCAGAUGGAGCUUAAAGAUGUUGAGAGAAAAAUUGCACAACAAGCAGCUAAGCUACAAGGAAUAGACUUGGAUCGAACUGUCCAACAAGUUAACCAGGAAAAACAAGAAAAGCAGCACAAACUGGAUACAGUUUCCAGUAAGAUUGAAUUGAAUCGUAAGCUCAUACAGGACCAGCAGGAACAAAUUCAAUACCUAAAAAGUACCACAAAUGAACUGAAGUCAGAGAAACUGCAGAUAUCCACUAAUUUGCAGCGUCGUCAGCAACUGGAGGAGCAGACAGUGGAGUUAUCCACUGACGUUCAGUCUUUAUGCAGAGAGAUAAAGGUAAGACUAUACAUACACGUUGGGUUUUUUUUUUAAGUUGUUUUCAGACAUGAAAU
rnacentral:lncRNA from 1 species